UCUAAAGGACUGCUUGCUUCUGAGUGUGGA
rnacentral:piRNA from 1 species